UAAAGACCAGACUGGCUAUAGGUAAAACUGGAGAGUAUUCAGGGAUUAUUGAUUGUGGCAAGAAGCUUCUAAAACAAGAAGGUGUCAGAUCCUUUUUCAAAGGUUAUACUCCUAACUUGCUAGGCAUUGUACCUUAUGCCGGCAUAGAUCUUGCUGUUUAUGAGGUGUCUGACAUCCUGAGACCUGGACCCAUUUCAAGGAGCUUUGGGAAGAGCCCAGAUCACUGAUGGAAUUGGACAGUGCGUGGAAAUGGUUCAGCAGGAUGAGGACCGUUACCUGGUACGCUGGCUGCUACCUCCCUCACUCUUGUCAGAGUCGGAGCUACAGGCAGUGCCUUCAGCUCUGAGCUCAGGCAUCCCGGUCCCUGUUUUUGCGGUUAAGGACUCUAAAGUG
rnacentral:lncRNA from 1 species